rnacentral:snRNA from 1 species
GUGUUCAUUUCAGCAGCACAUAUACUAAAAUUGGAAAGAUACAGAGAAGAUUAGCAUGGCCCCUGCACAAGGAUGACAUGCAAAUUCGUAAAGCAUUCCAUAUUUUU